rnacentral:rRNA from 1 species
UCCGUACGGCGUCACGGGAGUGAACGGACUGCGGGCGUAGCUUAACACAUAGCAAGUCGAACGGACGAGGUAAUGAAACCUAGUUAGAGUUUAUCUGUUAGUGGUCGGACGGGUGGAGUAACGGCGUGGGUAACCUGCCGUAUACAGGGGGAGUAACACUUAGAAAUAGGUAGCUAAACCGCAUAAGCGCACAGGAUCGCAUGGUCCGGUGUGAAAAACUCCGGUGGUAUACGAUGGACCCGCGUCUGAUUAGCUUGUUGGCGGGGUAGAGGCCCACCAAGGCGACGAUCAGUAGCCGGCCUCGAGAGGGUGAACGGCCACAUUGGGACUGAGACACGGCCCAAACUCCUACGGGAGGCAGCAGUGGGGAAUAUUGCACAAUGGGGGAAACCCUGAUGCAGCGACGCCGCGUGAGUGAAGAAGUAUUUCGGUAUGUAAAGCUCUAUCAGCAGGAAAGAAAAUGACGGUACCUGACUAAGAAGCCCCGGCUAACUACGUG